GCGGAGGAAAAGAAACCAACAGGGAUUGCCCUAGUAACGGCGAGUGAAGCGGCAACAGCUCAAAUUUGAAAUCUGGCCUCGGCCCGAGUUGUAAUUUGCAGAGGAUGCUUCUGGCGCGGUGCCUUCCGAGUUCCCUGGAACGGGACGCCACAGAGGGUGAGAGCCCCGUAUGGUCGGACACCAAGCCUGUGUGAAGCUCCUUCGACGAGUCGAGUAGUUUGGGAAUGCUGCUCUAAAUGGGAGGUAAAUCUCUUCUAAAGCUAAAUACCGGCCAGAGACCGAUAGCGCACAAGUAGAGUGAUCGAAAGAUGAAAAGCACCUUGAAAAGGGGGUUAAAUAGUACGUGAAAUUGUUGAAAGGGAAGCACUUGUGACCAGACUUGGGCCGGGCGGCUCAUCAGGGGUUCUCCCCUGUGCACUCCGCCCGGCACAGGCCAGCAUCGGUUUUCGCGGGGGGAUAAGACCGCCGGGAACGUAGCACCCUCCGGGGUGUGUUAUAGCCCGGCGGACGAUACCCCCGCGGGGACCGAGGUCCGCGCUCCGCAAGGAUGCUGGCGUAAUGGUCACCAGUGACCCGUCUUGAAACACGGACCAAGGAGUCGUCCAUUAGAGCGAGCGUUUGGGUGUAAAACCCGCACGCGUAAUGAAAGUGAACGCAGGUGAGAGCUUCGGCGCAUCAUCGACCGAUCCUGAUGUUCUCGGAAGGAUUUGAGUAAGAGUUUUAACGGACGGACCCGAAAGACAGUGAACUAUGCUUGUAUAGGGUGAAGCCAGAGGAAACUCUGGUGGAGGCUCGCAGCGGUUCUGACGUGCAAAUCGAUCGUCAAAUAUGAGCAUGGGGGCGAAAGACUAAUCGAACUGUCUAGUAGCUGGUUACCGCCGAAGU
rnacentral:rRNA from 1 species